rfam:Thauera chlorobenzoica strain 3CB1, complete genome.
AAUCCCCUGCAGUGUUCGUCGAAGUCGUAGAUUCCUUGAACCAAUAGUCGAAAGACUUGGUUGCCGACCAUCGAUGCCGCUGGUGUGAACGCCCCUUCGCGGGUGAUCCUGAAGCGGAAGGAACGCGACCUCCCUGAACCCCAGGUUCAGGAUGCCCGGCGGAGACGGCACAGGCGGGGGACCU